rnacentral:rRNA from 1 species
GGAGGGAUCAUUACAGAGUUUCGUACUCCAAACCCUUUGUGAACAUACCUGUUUUCGUUGCUUCGGCAGGUGAAGGCGGAUGGCCUCCGGGCCUUUCCCGCCGCCGCCGGGUCCGGGAAACCGGCCGGGUGGGCCUGCCGGAGGGCACAGACUCUUGUAUUAAACGUACCUCUCUGAGUUAUCUUUUACAAACAAGUAAAAACUUUCAACAACGGAUCUCUUGGUUCUGGCAUCGAUGAAGAACGCAGCGAAAUGCGAUAAGUAAUGUGAAUUGCAGAAUUCAGUGAAUCAUCGAAUCUUUGAACGCACAUUGCGCCCGCCAGUAUUCUGGCGGGCAUGCCUGUCCGAGCGUCAUUUCAACCCUCAGGCCCUGGUUGCCUGGUGUUGGGGCGCCGCGCACCCCUAGCGGGCGCGGGCCCCGAAAGUCAGUGGCGGGCUCGCCAGGACUCCGAGCGCAGUAAUAUUGCCUCGCUGCGGAGCGCCUGGUGGGUUACCCAGCCGUAAAACACCCCAAAUUCUAAAGGUUGACCUCGGAUCAGGUAGGAAUACCCGCUGAACUUAAGCAUAUCAAUAA